rnacentral:rRNA from 1 species
UUGACGGGGCCCGCACAAGCAGUGGAGUAUGUGGUUUAAUUCGAAGCAACGCGAAGAACCUUACCAGGGCUUGACAUCCCUUGAAGCAGCUAGAGAUAGCUGUGUCCUUCGGGACAAGGAGACAGGUGGUGCAUGGUUGUCGUCAGCUCGUGUCGUGAGAUGUUGGGUUAAGUCCCGCAACGAGCGCAACCCCUGUGGUUAGUUGCCAGCAAGUAGCGUUGGGCACCCUAGCCAGACUGCCGGUGAUAAAUCGGAGGAAGGUGGGGACGACGUCAAAUCAUCAUGCCCUUUAUGUCCUGGGCUACACACGUACUACAAUGGCCGUUACAACGGGAAGCGAAGGAGCAAUCCGGAGCAAACCCCUUAAAGGCGGUCCCAGUUCAGAUUGUGGGCUGAAACUCGCCCACAUGAAGGCGGAAUUGCUAGUAAUUGCAGAUCAGCAUGCUGCAGUGAAUACGUUCCCGGGCCUU